GGCCAUAUGGCGCAGUGGUUAACGCCUUUGGAUAAUGUUCUACAAAUCGCUCUUCCUUUAUCCAAAGUUCGUAGGUUCGAAUCCUACUGUGGCCA